UCCGCCUCCUGGGUUCAAGCAAUUCUCUGCCUCAGCCUUCCACGUAGCCGAGAUUACAGGUGCCUACCACCACGCCCAGCUAAUUUUUUGUAUUUUUAGUAGAGACGGAGUUUCACCAUCUUGGCCAGGCAGGUCUUGAACUCCCGACCUCGUGAUCCACCCGCCUCGGCCUCCCAAAGUGCUGGGAUUACAGGCAUGAGCCACCGCGCCCAGCCUUUUUUUUUUUUUUUAAUGGAGUCUUGCUCUGUCUCCCAGGCUGGAGUGCAGUGGCCCGAUCUUGGCUCACUGCAACUUCCGCCCCCCAAGCUCAAGCGAUUCUCUUGCCUCGGCCUCCUGAGUAGCUGGGACUACAGGCCUUCGCCACCACACCCAGCUAAUUUUUUGUAUUUUUAGUAGAGAAGGGGUUUCACUAUGUUGGCCAGGCUUGUCUCGAAUUCCUGAGCUCAAGCAAUCAGCCUGCCUCGGCCUCCCAAAGUGCUGGGAUUACAGGCAUGAGCCACCGCGUCAGGCCCCCAGUUGCUUUUCUGAGUAGUCAUAUCAACUGACAGUCUACCAGCAAUUUAUGAGAGUUCUCAUUGCUCCGUUGCCUUACUAAUGCUUGGUAUGUUGAGGCCUUUAAUUUUUUAAAGCAAUUUAUUGAGUGUAAUAGUAUCCCAUCUUAAUUUAGAUUUAUAUUUCCCUGAUUCAAUCUUCUCUGAAUUACCUAUUCAUUUUGGAGGGGUUCACUGAACUUUCUAAAUAGAAGGGCUUUUGUCUUUCAUAAAAUCCAGAAAAUAUCUGUAAUUAUCUCUUCUAAUGUUGUUUCUCUUUUAUUCUUCCUCUUAUAUGCUAUUAGUUAUAGAACUUUUCACUCAAUCCACUAUGCCACUUAACCUUUCAUAUUUUCUAUCUUAUUUGUCUCUCUCUGAUAUUUCUGUGUACUCUGUUGAUACCUCAGUUCACUAGUUCUUUCUUCAGUUAUCCCUAAGCAAAAAUAUCCUUUCUAUUAAGUUUCUAAUUUCAGUCCUGUAGUUCUUUUUAGUAGACUUACCUGAUUUUUUUUCAGAUCAGCUAGUUAAUUUUUGGUAGACUUUCAGUCUUCAUUUUACUUUUAGUACCAUCUUUUAUUCCAAUAAACACAUUAGGCAUUUUUACCUUAUUUUGUAAUCUAUGUAUGUUAUUUAAAAUCUGUAGUCUGUGUGCAUAUUGUUUUGCAGAAAUCUUUUUGUUUGUAAUUGUAAUCUUUUAAAAAUGUUAUUUGCAAGAGGAAGGUUAAGUAUUUUGCCAUAUCAUUGGAAAAUAAAGAUAAUUUUUUUAAUUUUUCCUAAUAUUGAUACCAGUUAUUUAUGUUUCCUUCCUAACUGCAUUUAGAAAUAGCUCCACAACAAUACUGAAUGUUAUUAAAAAUAGUAGCAUUCCUCUCUUAUUUCUGAUAUUUUCUCUAUUUAAUCAUAUCUACUACUCCCUCUUGGAAAUUCUGAGUGCUAACAGACUUUGUAAAUAAACAGCCGACAUUCAUCACAAUCCACAAAAUGCAAACAAAACAAUACAUUUAGUAUCUAGCAGUCAUCUUCAAGGAAUUGCAUGUGCAUGGCAUCAUUUAAACAUUUUUUAAAAAAACAAAGAAAAUUAAACAAAAAUACACAGAAAAUUUUUAAAAAGUUAGUUAUUCUGCCUUAAAUUCUACAAAAAAGACAAGAAAGAUGAUUGAAAAACAUAAAUGCACAAGGAUAAAGCCAACGUGAGAAGACAGUACUACAACAGAGUUUGGGAAACUAGAAAGCAGGUGUAUCAAUUUACUAUGGCUACUUUAAACAAUACCUCAAAUUUGGUGACUUAAAACAGCGCACAUUUAUUUUCUUACAGUUCUGGAUAUCAGAAGCUCAAAGGGUUUCAAUAGAUUAAACCAAAGUGCUAGCAGGGGUACACUUCCUCAGGAAGCUCUAUGAUGGAAUCUCUUUCCCUGCCUUUUCCAAAUUCUAGAGCUGCAUUCCUUGCAUUUCUUGGCUCAUCACCCCUUCCUCCACCUUCAAAGCUAGCAGCAAAGUAUCUUCAAUUCUCUGUUUCCAUCAUCAUAUCACCUUCUUCCUCUUUUGUGGUCAAAUCUCUGUCCACCCUCCUCUCAUGAUUAUAUUUAGGAAACACCUGGAAAAUCCCCCUCUCUGAAGAUACUUAACUGAAUUACAUAUGCAAGGCCCCCUUUUGCCAUGUAAAGUAACUCUCUCAGGUUCCAUGAAAUAGAUCUUAGAUAUCUUUGGGGCACAUUAUUCAAGCUAUCACUGAGGUAAGAAGCUUAGUACCUCAAAGCUGAAAACUACACUAUCAGUAAGGAAAGCAACUGACAUUUUUUUCACAGAAAAAUGCUAACUGAGGCUUAGUCAUUGAAGGCAGCAGCCAGGUACCUCUGCAACAGAGGGUAAUGGGUGGUGUGAAAAUUAAGAGAAUCGAUUAGCUAUAGAAGAAGGUACAAGAUUCCACAGAUUACUUUCCCAACCCUUUUCUGUCAGGUCACUGCCUCUCUCCCCAUGUCAUGGAAUCAGGGACACUGCACAUUGCUAACGGAAAGGGUACCACAUGGAAAAAAAGGAUAUUCAUUAACCAAUCAUUGAAGCCCAGUCACCUUUCCCCAGCUGGAUCUAAAAAUGCUACAUAAGAUGUAUCAGCCUAUCAAUAGUUGGCUAAUAAAUGAGUAUUCUUUGCUUGCGGAAAUGUACCAGGAGAAUAGGAGAACAGCAGACACUGGGAAAGGCAGAUCUCCUGAUAAAACCAAAUUAAGCAUCAUAGAGUAAAUCCCACCAGUAGACAGGGCCCACACAGCCACACAUACCUUGAAAUCAGAUUUUUAUUGUCUCUGUCUUAAAUCUGAAUGGAAAGUCUCAUAUAGCCAGACAUAGAAGAAAGCCUUCAUUUAGAGGACUGAAGCAAGCCUCUAACAUAAAGGGUGAAGACUUAAGUAAACAAAGGGUGGCAGGGGGAGAAACUCAUCAAAGAAGCAAAAGAAUUUUUAAAUUUUCUCAUAAAAAAUGUUGGAACUUCAGAGAGCUGAGAGUUAUUGUACUCAUAAAAUGAGAACAUGGGGUAAUUUGUUUUAAUGUCAUGAAUAGAACCCAAAAAUCUUGGGAAAUACAAUUAUUAUCAUGGUAAAAUAAAGUUCAAUAAGAAAAGUAAAAAACAAGUUGAAAAAAUCUCUCACAAAGAAAAAAAUAGAAAACAUUAGAAUAUUAUUCUAGGACUUAAAACACUGAACACUUAGAAUUACAGAAAGAAAGAAGAGAGAAGAUGGAGAAGAAAAAAAUAAAGAAAAUGUUUAAAAAUGUUUCAGGCUGAAAGAUUUGAAGUUUCACAUUGAGAGGGAUCAUCAAGAGUUCAAUACAAUGGUUACACAAGACCCAUGGAAAACUACCUCACUGAGAAAUUUCAGAACACUGAUUACAAAGUGAAGUCCUAGAAGCUUCUGAAGAGAAGUCAGAAGAGUCCACAUUCAGAAAUCAAAAUUACAUCAGACCCUCAAUAGAAAUGUUAGAAGCUAGACAAUAAUGGUGUGAUAUCUUCAAAAUUCUGAGAGAAAGUGAUUUCCAACUAAGACUUGUAUACCCAGCCAAACUAUUUUUUUAAUCAGACACAGCAGUUCAAAUGAAGGCAUGCAACUUUUCAAUAAUUUUACCACUCACACAGUCUCUCUCAGGAAGCUAGAGGAGGAUAUAAUUGACUAAAAUAAGGUGAUUCACUAAGGAAGAGCAAAACAGGUGACCCAAGCAAGAAAGGAUCCAUUAAAAAUAUUUCAAAAUAAAGACAUGAUAUGAAUUCCAAAAAAUAUGGCAAUAAAAUCCUAGAACAAGUUUUUUUCUCAACUGAGGGUAAUUUUGUCCCCCAGGGGAUAUAUGACAAUGUAUAGAAACAGUUUUGUUAUCACAAGUACAGGAGUGGAGGAGAGUGCUACUGUCAGCUAGUGGAUUGGUGGAUAGAGGCCAGGGAUGCUGCCAAACAUCCUACAACGUGCAGGACAAUCUCCUGCAAUAAAUAAUAAUGCAGCUCAAAAUGUCAAUAGUGCCAAGGAAGUUGAGAAACCCAGUCCUAGUAAACAGUAGCUGUGCAACAGACUGAAACAGGAACCAGGGCAACUUAAGGGUAAAAGACUUAGAAUUAAUUUUGUGGUCAGUUUAGAACCACUGACUUAUUAGAGCUAAGCCUCAGAAAGUAGCUUUCAACAAAUACAAAAAAUUAUGACAUAAUGUGAGCAAUGCAGUUAAAGAGCCAGGCAGAAAGAACUUGGGGACACAACUAAGCUACAUUCCUUGGUCCUGAUCACUUCAUUACUAAUUUUUGGCCUAACAUAAAAGAUUCUUCAUGACCUUGCCAUGAACUAACAUUCCAAUUUUAUCUCCUGUCAGUUUCCUCCACUAUACAAUUUAUGGGCUUCUGAACACACAUCAAUUUAAUUCUCCAUCAUUGCACAUACCAUUUUUCAUCAUGAAUAUCUCUGUCUACCUUGUCCUCUCAAGGAAUUUAUCACCAUCUCCAAAACUAAGCUCCAAAACUCAAUAAAGUAUGAAUCAAUUAAAAAUGAAUAAAAUGGCUUCUAAAUAAUAGUACAUUGUUAUGUCAUUUUGAAUAUAUAUUCAUAAUGUAAAUAAUUUGUAUAUAUAUUAGUUAAGAGAAUUUCAGCUACUAUAAUCAAGCUUCCCCAAAAUGUACAAUAGCUCAGGCAAAAUAGAAAUUUUUUGCUAACAUGAAAUCCAAAUCAUUGAUAAAUAGGAUCCUCUCCUCACAGGAGUAAUUCAGAGUUCCAGGUACCCUUUAUUUUAUAGUUCCACCCUCUUGACUUCUCAUUUUAAUUUGUUCAUCAGCAUUAAGUGAAUGGAUGGGUAAAAGUAUGCAGAAUAAUGUGCAGGAGUUUUUAUGGUCCAGGUCUGGGUUCAUUGCACACAUCACUUUUUCUCACUGUGUAUCAGCUACAUGACUGCACAUAACUGCAAGGAAAGCUGAGAAAUACUGUCUACCUGCAUGCCCAAACAGAAGAGGAAAUAGAAGGUAAAUAGCUAGCCAGUCUCUGACAUUGCAUGGUUCUAAAAAGCCUUUCUAGCAAUGUUCAGAAACAAACAAAUGAAGUACAAGGAAAUUUGAUUAUGUGUAAGGCACAUUUACAAUAAUUGACUGUCACAUAGUUGUUGAAAUCACAGAACAAAAUGACAGUAAAUGGAAACAUUAAGAUAGAAACAUGAAAGAAUAUAGGAAAGGUCCCUGAGUUGCAAGAUAUAAAAUGAAGGAAGCAGGACAGGUGAGUAAAUAGUGUCAAUUUCAUACAAUGAGAUGCUGUUAGAAAUGGUGGACAGCUGUGAGUUAAAUACUACCAUAUAUAGCAAGAGGAUGCUCCUCUUCCUCCUGUGAGUCAGGAGCAUUAGAAGAAAAAGCUUUAUUAUCAAAAGUUAAAAAACAAAACAAAACAAAAAACUAGAAAGCCACUGUUGUCAAGGAGGUGAGAAAGAUGCAAAAAUGGCAUGUGGAUAAUAGAAACAUUGAUACUAUAUUCUCUUUGUAGCAAUUGUGAAGGGGACUUUGCUCAUGAUUUGGCUUUCUGUCUAUUAUUGGUGUAUAGGAAUGCUUGUGAUUUUUGCACAUUGAUUUUGUAUCCUGAGACUUUGCUGAAGUUGCUUAUCAACUUAAAGAGUUUUUGGGCUGAGACAAUGGGGUUUUCUAAAUAUACAAUCAUGUUAUCUGCAAACAGAGAUAAUUUGAUUUCCUCUCUUCCUAUUUGAAUGUCUUUUAUUUCUUUCUCUUGCCUGAUUGAUUGCUCUGGCCAGAACUUCCAAUACUAUAUUGAAUAUGAAUGGUAAGAGAGGGCAUCCUUGUCUUGUGCCAGUUUUCAAAGAGAAUGCUUCCAGCUUUUGCCCAUUCAGUAUGAUAUUGGCUGUGGGUUUGUCAUAAAUAGCUCUUAUUAUUUUGAGAUAUAUUCCAUCAAUACCUAGUUUAUUGAGUGUUUUUACAUGAAGGGUGUUGAAUUUUAUUGAAGGCCUUUUCUGCCUCUAUUCAGAUAAUCAUGUGGUUUUUGUCAUUAGUUCUGAUUAUGUGAUGGAUUACAUUUAUUGAUUUGCAUAUGUUGAAUCAGCUUUGCAUCCCAGGAAUGGAGCCAAUUUGAUCGUGGUGGAUAAGCUUUUUAAUUAACGUGCUGUUGGAUUUUGUUUGUCAAUAUUUUACUGAGGAUUUUCGCAUCGAUAUUCAUCAGGGAUAUUGGCCUGAAAUUUUCUUUUGUUGUUGUGUCUCCGCCAGGUUUUGGUAUCAGGAUGAUGCUGGCUUCAUAUAAAAUGAGUUAUGGAGGAGUCCCUCUCUUUCUAUUGUUUGGAAUAGUUUCAGAAGGAAUGGUACCAGUUCCUCCUUGUACCUCUCUGCAAGAAUGUGGCUAUCACUCCGUCUGGUCCUGGGCUUUUUUUGAUUGGUAGGCUACUCAUUACUGCCUCAAUUUUAGAACUUGAUAUUGGUCUAUUCAGGAGUUCGACUUGUUCCUGGUUUAGUUUUGGGAGGGUGUAUGUGUCCAGGAAUUUAUUCAUGUCUUCUAGAUUUUCUAGUUUA
rnacentral:lncRNA from 1 species